rnacentral:lncRNA from 1 species
CAGAGGAGCAUAACAGAGCUAAUAGAGCCCCUGUUGUUACUGCUGCAGGUGAACAGACUUCACAUGUCAAGUGAGCUUGGGAAAAUUCGUUCUAUACAUACUGCAGGAUCUCGUGGGCAAAAAAUUGCAUCUACACUUUGUGACGAUGUAUGCAGAACAUGCAGGUAAGCAACCCAACUUGAAUAUUGACGCGUAUACUCGAAUACUUGAUAAAGUGAAUCUCAAUCAACAAUAACAUAAACAUCCUCAGACAAUUGUGUGGAGAUCACUGGAUUCAGUAGCAGUGGCCGACCACGUAUUAACUACUCUAUAACUCCAUUCAUAUAUGUACUCAAUUCCAUAUUAGAAAAUUCCACUUCUGAAUUUUUUAUCUUAUGAGCUAAAGUAAAAUACUUUCAGUAAGUAAAAUUAAUGUUAAAGGAAAAGGUGCCUACAGGUACUUGGAGGCCGAUGACACAGAUGCUGUCCAUGAGCUCCUGCACCUUGUGAGGAUCUUGCACGUGUUCGCAUUUGCGGCCUCCGGAUAUCGUCCAGCGGGAUCUCCAUCACCAGAGGGCUUUCUUCUCUGAGUCGCUCAAUGGGGAGAGCCCAUCUNNNN